UACCCGUGUAGUCCAGGGUGUAAAACGCUGCAGACUUGGUGUUGGGAACCCUUCGGGGGUGCUCAGUGCCGGAGAGAAGUUGUUAAGUCUGCUACUUGGGGAGUACGUCCGCAAGGAUGAAACUUAAAGGAAUUGGCGGGGAGCACCGCAACGGGAGGAGCGUGCGGUUUAAUUGGAUUCAACGCCGAAAAACUCACCAGCAGCGACUGUUACAUGAAAGUCAGGUUGAUGACCUUACUAGAUUUUUCAG
rnacentral:rRNA from 1 species